GACGAACGCUGGCGGCGUGCUUAACACAUGCAAGUCGAACGGAAAGGCCCUGCUGUUGUGGGGUGCUCGAGUGACGAACGGGUGAGUAACAAGUGAGUAACCUGCCCUUGACUUUGGGCUACCUUCAAGAAACUGGGGCACAUAACAGAUAUGCGCUCCUGCUGCAUGGUGGGGGUUAGCUAGUUUCGGCGGUUGGGGAUGGACUCGCGGCUUGUCAGCUUGUUGGUGGGGGAGUGGCUUACCAAGGCUUUGACGGGUAGCCGGCCUGAGAGGGUGACCGGCAACAUUGGGCCUGGGAUACGGCCCAGAUUCCUACGGGAGGCAGCGGUGGGGAAUAUUGCAAAAUGGGCGGAAGCCGGAUGCAGCAACGCCGGGUGCGGGAUGACGGCCUUCGGGUGGUAAACCGCUUUCGCCUGUGACGAGGCGGGAGUGACGGUAAUGGGUAAAGAAGCACCGGCUAACUACGUG
rnacentral:rRNA from 1 species